CGUGAUUUUUAUGGGUGACUUUCGUAAACAAGGCAUUAGGGAGUGUGUGUGUGAGGGAGGGCUGACUGACCAACACACACACACACACACGCACACACACACGCUGACACACAUGUACGUAACUUUCCCAAUGUGUGUGUGUAUAUGUGUGUGUUUGUGUAUGUGUGCAUGUGUGUGUGUUUGGUUGGCUCUCCCCUUCCACCCCACUCCCCUUCCUCCCCAACCACCGCCGACGCAAGAUAUGUGAAGAGACACUGACCCUUCUGUGUUUGUGCGUGUGUUGGGGUGAGAAAUAUUUUAGUCUUCGUCGAAAACGUAAACAAAAGACGGAAAAUGGAAAGAACGGAAACGGGAUGAAUGAACGGAAGUCGGAAUUGGAAGAAGCGAAUGAGAGAAUUGGGAAACAGUGGAACAGAAGAAAUUAAAUUGAGAGAGAGAUAGUAAAAUGUAAACAAAAACAAACGACAGAAAAUGGGAAAAACGGAAACGGAAUGAAUGAACGGAAGUCGGACACGGAAGAAGCGAAAGAGAGAAUUGGGAAACAGUGGAGCGGAAGAAAUGAAAUAGAAAGAGAGAUAGGAAAAUAUGAUGAAGGGAAACGAGAAGAAAGAAAGUAUAUAUUGAAGAAAGAAGUAUAAGAAAAAAAGAAGAAAAAGGGAAGUAUUUAUUGAAGAAGUCUUGUAUGAAAGGACGCUCAGGAAGAAGAAAGAGAUAGAAGAGAGAAUUAGAAAACUGUGAUGUAAAGGGAAGAGGAAAAUGAAGUGUAUUUGAGUCUACUGAUGGAAUAGAAGAAACUGAGAUGAAAGAAAUAAUGAGAAAAUAGAAGAAAAUGAAGUGAUGAAAGAAAUGAGGAAAGAAUUGAAGUGAUAAAAAAUAAUAAUAGAGUGAAUGAGAGAGAGAAAGAGAGCAAAAAAGACAGAGAAAAUAAGAGGAAAAUAAGGAAUAAAAAGUGAAAGUGAAGGAAAUAAGAAAAAGAAUGGAGAGGAGGAAAAAAAAGAAAAUAAAGGAUAAGAAAUGAGAUAAAGAAAUGGAAGAGAGGGACAAAGUGUGAGAGAGAGAGAGAGAGAGAGAGAGAGAGAGAGAGAGAGAGAAACACAUUCCCAAAACGGACUAAGGGGAACAGACCUACUUUCUCUCUCUCUCUCUCUCUUUUACUUAAUUUACGAUGAAAGAAAAAAAAGGAAAAAAUCAUCACCGUUGUCUCAUCUGAAAAUUGACGACGAUGGUGCAGGAAAAGAAAAGAAAAGGAAGAAAUAAACUGUACGCAAGACUCAUGGUGCCACACACACACACACACACACACACACACACACACACACACACACACACACACACACACACACACACACACACCGAGACCGUUCAGAAAAGUUUGUGUGACGUGAGGGAGAAAAAAAUUACGAGUGAGCGACUUCACGAGGAGGAAGAAAGUAAUAUUAGCGGAAAAAGUGCGUACGUGUGUUUGUGUGUGUGUGUGUGCGUGUGUGUGUGUGAAAAAAUAGGACCUGUGAUUGUUAUGUACUGUACAGGAACACACACAGUUUUAAUAUACCUCCUCCUCCUCCUCCUCCUCCUCCUCCUCCUUCUCCUCCUCUUCAACCACUCCAUUCCACAUCCUAAAGAAUUGUGGCAUUGUAUUUUCCUCUCUCCUCCUCCUCCUCCUCCUCCUCCUUCUCCUCCUCUUCCACAGUUGAUAUUAGUGAAAAAAUAAAAAUGCAAGUUGUGUCGAUAAAAUGUUAUGUAAAAAUAGGCCUAAGAAGUUUGACCGCAGUUGAAAGAACGGCAGAUAUUUGACGAGUAUUUAUGUGUGUGUUUGUGUGUUUGUAUCAGAGAGAGAGAGAGAGAGAGAGAGAGAGAGAGAGAGAGAGAGAGAGAGAGAGAGAGAGAGAGGGCAGCAUUACUAUUUCUAAAGCAAACAUUCAUGACUUUUCACACGCACACACACACACACUCACAAAAUGGUGUCACAAUAUAUAUAUACUAGCAAAAUAAAGAAGAAGAAAGAGGAGGAGGAGGAGGAAGGAAAAAACAAGUAAAUAUGUAUCAUAGUAGAAUAGAAUGGGAGGGGAAGGAAGGAAGGAAGGGAGAGAAAGAAAGAAGAAGAUAAACAAAGGGUUGAAAAACUGCAUUAUCCUCCCAUCUCCCUUUGAAGUGGUGUAAAAUUCUUUAAUCCCUUCCCUCCAUCUCUCCCUCUCUCUCUCCCUUCCUCAGCCUCUGUCAGGGAUCAUUAGGGAGAAAAAUGGUGUGUGUGUACGUGUGUGUGUGUGUGUGUGUGUGUGUACAUAGUGACAUAGCGAGGGUAGAAAGUCACAUUAAACUAUUUAUUUACAUGUAGGGUAGAGGAGAGAGAGAGAGAGAGAGAGAGAGAGAGAGAGAGAGAAUCACCUCAUCUAUUAUUGCAGCUCUUUCAUAACUUCUCUCUCUCUCUCUCUCCCUCUCCCUCUCUCUCGGACCUGUCUAGAAAGAAUACUCACUUAAGGAAAAAUAGACAGACCGGGUUGUGCGAGUGGGAUGGUGAUGAUGGUGGUGAUAAUGGUGAUGAUAUGUGUGUAUGGAGUCACUGUAUAUUGUGUGGUGAUAGAGGAAGAGGAGGAGGAGGAGGAGGAGGAAUGCAAGUUAUGUGUGUGUUAGAUAAAGGAGGUCACUGUAUAUUGUAUGGUAUUAGAGGAAGAAGAGGAAGAGGAAGAGGAGAAGAAGAAGGAAUGCAAGUUAUGUGUGUUAGAUGAAUGAAGUUGCUGUAUAUUUUGUAGCAUUAAGAAAAAGAGAAGAGGAGAAAGAAGUAUGCAAGUUAUAUGUAUGUGUGUGUGUGUACGUGUGUGUGAAAUCAGGUUCCGUUAGCUUAAGAGAAUGGUACGGAAGUCUUUCUCUAUAUGUAACUCUCCUUCUCCCUCUCCCUCUCUCGUGUCUCGGGUGUCAUUCUUAACAUUGUCAUUAUUUUCUUAACUCGUGCGCUUGUGUCUGAGCGAUGAUGCACAAAGUAGGAGCAAUUCUCGCGUCUAAUUUAUUGGCUGUGUGCCCUCGAUACCCCUUACCCCCUCCCCCCUUAACCCCCGACCCUGAACCUUAUUUAUUACCCAUCGGCGUUAGCUCCGAGAUCGUCACAACUUUUUUUUUUUUUUUCGUAUUUCGCCUACCAUUUAUUUAUUUAUUUAUUUUUUUCCAUAUCGAGAAACACAAAUGGUUGACAGUGCAAAGGAGAUAGAUGCUGGAUGGUUAGACAGUAAGAUGGUUAUGUAUGGAUUUUUUUUUUCUCUUAUUUAUGGCAUUUUUUUUAUAUACACACAAUGGGCGAAAUGCAAUUGUUCUCUUUAAUUCGACUAGUUAGUUUUCUUGGGGUCAAAGUUGCCAAGUACCGCCAUAUUCUCAUCUUUUUCGUCUUGGGUGUCGUGGGCGUAACGGCGGACCAUCACGUUCUUCCCUAGUUUUGUAUCUCGUGUAACGGAAAGAAAUCGAUCGUCGCCGAUACGACCACACAAGAGAAGGGAAAGUUUGGGAAUAUGGCGGUACAUGGCAACACUGUCCCGAGGAAAAGCCGAGUCUUAUUAAAUGCAGAGUUACGAGUUACCUUCGUACGUCAGGUCGUGAGUGUCAUCUGUGCGUUCUGCCGACACAAAGUUUUGACUCGGCAGAUAUCAAGAAAUCACGUUUUUUUAUAUAUAUUUUCGUCUCCGCAGUCUAAGUUAUUAUCCUCUUUUCACUCACAGGGCACAGAACGAGUAUCAAAAAAACACACACAAUGAUGCAGUAAUCGUAAUGGAUACAUAAUACUACAUAAAUAAUUAUACAUACCUAGCGUUGAUAAUCUUAUUAAUAGUUAAGUGAAAACAUGUUCAUUCAUUCAUUGUUCAUCGGAGGGAGAAACGGCGAGUCACAGACGGAGGCAAAGGUUCAUUCGUUUGUUUCCCGCACACACCGCUACAUUACUACCCCUGCGUUACGACUCCACUCUUCCCUCUUCCCCCACGUGACGGAGGAGAGAACGCGGGUCGCCUCCUGGGCCGCCCGCCUGUAUGUAUGUGUCAUUAUUUCAUUUAUUGUAUACAAGAAGAAGUUUCAAUCUUUGUACAGCGUCUAGUUCUUAAUAAAGUACGUCCAACAGGAGG